rnacentral:lncRNA from 1 species
AGGGUUGCCGUGCAGGGAGUGUCAGCCACGUCUAGCGCACAGUCCCAGGCCCCAGGGCGAAGGCGGCCAGGGGAAAUGGGGCUCAGGGAUUGCUAAGCAAACGCAUCACUGGUGGUCUCCAGCGCCUGCGGAGUAUCUUUUGCUGCCUCUUACGUAUUGUAGGCAGUGCCUGAUGGCUGAGAAGAAUCGCAGAGGACUAGAAAAGGUUUGAGUCUGAAAUUAUCUGGCACAGAGGAUUAAAGCUCAGAAAUAAGUGAUUGCGAAACAGUUCAACUUCCCUGUUAAUGACAACAACAACAGCAACACGCUUAUUAAUUCCUAGCUGGAGCAUCAAGCUUAUGAAGAUUUCCAAGACUUUAUUGUUGACCCUUGUUGAAGAGAACUCUACUUGGCUUCUUUCCUGGCUUUCCUAAAUUGUUCACAUACAAGAUAAACUACCGUCAUUCAGACUUACAGAAGUGAGAAGACAAGCUGAACCAAAUGUAAAAUGG